rnacentral:rRNA from 1 species
UUCCAGACUCCUACGGGAGGCAGCAGUGAGGAAUAUUGGUCAAUGGGCGGAAGCCUGAACCAGCCAAGUCGCGUGAGGGAAGAAGGCCCUGCGGGUCGCAGACCUCUUUGGACGGGGAGCAAGGCCGCCGACGUGUCGGCGGAAGGAGAGUACCCGUAGAACAAGCAUCGGCUAACUCCGUGCCAGCAGCCGCGGUAAUACGGAGGAUGCGAGCGUUAUCCGGAUUUAUUGGGUUUAAAGGGUGCGUAGGCGGACAGUCAAGUCAGCGGUAAAAAUGCGGUGCUCAACGCCGUACAGCCGUUGAAACUGGCAGUCUUGAGUGGGCGAGAAGUAUGCGGAAUGCGUGGUGUAGCGGUGAAAUGCAUAGAUAUCACGCAGAACUCCGAUUGCGAAGGCAGCAUACCGGCGCCCAACUGACGCUGAAGCACGAAAGCGUGGGUAUCGAACAGGAUUAGAUACCCCGGUA